ACGUGGCAGCCCGAGCUUUGGUCAAGCUCCUCCAACCAAGCGCUUAGGAAGUCGGCGGGAGCGGGAGCACACACCUACGCAGCCGCCUGUUGCUGAGUGACGGAGAGGGAAGGCAGGGAUGUUCGCUCCCAACAGCAGGAAGCGAGCAGCCGCGGCCCUCACUGGUCCUCGCAGGAAUCUGCCUCCCCACGCUACCCCGUGUGCCACGUCAAACUUCCUCACAGCCCCAAGUUACAGAAGCCUGACUCAGCUCCAAGCAGCGACGACAUGGCACCGAGCCGCUCGGCGGGAGCAGGCCUGCGAUCCAAACCUGGGGCGCUUCGACCGCAGCCCGAGCCCCCGGUCGUCCUCCCGCCCCCGCCGUCGCGGGCCAACGACACCCGAGACGCGCUUCUCACCCCCCCCCCCCGGCCAACUUCGGGUCUGGACAAACCGGCGUCGCCACCAGGAUGUCCCGAGGCUUGAAGACACAGUUGCCAUUUUUGACCAUGAGUAUUUCCAGUAUCGCCAUCCUCCAAGGAGGAAAUUAAGUGGAUACGGACGCCAGAAAACCGCUGCCCGUGCCGCCGAAUACCGCGGCUCCCGAGGACGCUAACCGCGCCGUCGCCAGCAUCCCCAGACAAAAAGACGGGGGCGGGCGCGGGUACACAUGCCCACGCCCACCCACCCCACCCCCAAUGUUACACCGUGCGGAAGGGCUGAAGGGACGGAGCAGGAGGUCUCCCCCGCCGCCCGCCACAGGUUGCCGCUUAAGCUGUGCAUCCAACCCGUUGUGAAUAUUACUCGAAUAUUCCUCGAAUAACUGUGAUAUUGCAGGAAUGCCUGCAGACUCAUGAUGAAGGAAGGUGACUGAACCCACGCCAAACAUGGAUUGAUACAUGUGAAAGCACCCCGUGUUUAGCUCACUGUAUUGUGAGAAACAGCUGAGAAAGGCAACAUACGUGACACCUGGCACUUGGCUUCUUCUCUAUCUAGCCUUUCAAACUAGGACCAUGUCACAAUGUCCCACUCCUAGAUACAGAAGCCUUCAGCCAACCCUAGGUUUGAUAGAGCUACCACUUUGCCCAAACUUACCCAAGGAAACCAGCGUUUUGUUUCCAAAAUAUACUUUCCCCUCUCUCUGUGUCUCUCAUGAACAAAUAAACUAAUCUUUAAAAAAAAAUAUAUAUAUAUACAUAUAUAUAUACACAUAUAUAUAUACUUUCUUCUAGGCUACAAGAAGAUAAAAAAUACUUGACAAAUCCCUUAAUUGAUGAAAUCCCUGGGCAAAAACUUGUAUAGGUAGGAAGCUACUGAUGAAAUGCUCCAUGAGUUUUUCAGGCCAUUUUCAGUGAUUCCAGCAUGGUAAAAACUAAUGGUCCCUUCCGCCUUCUUUCUUUCUUUCUUUCUUUUUUUUUUUUUUUUUACAAUUUUAGGGUGUGAUGCACUGCCUACAACCACCUUCAACACUGGUCAGAUUUGAGAAUCCACAAUGAAAAGUUUGUUUUAAAUUUGUUUCUCGUAUUCUCAAUACAAUGGGAAUAUUUGAUGGAGUUUAGGAAGCUUUGGUCUGUGUGUUGAAGAAGCACAGCUUGUAAGAGCAAUAAAAAAAAAAGUUGUCAUAUCACGGUUAUGUCACAAUGUAGGAGAGAAUAGUCACUUGGAGACAGGAACACUAUGUAAUCAGCUGAUUGGCUUGUUGCCUCUAGAAAACCACUAAAUUUCAGUUUGUAAAUCCUUUCUCACUUCUUGUUCUGGGGCACCAGGACAAACAAUGUGUGAUUUCAGUUCUAAGACAGUGUUGAAUUCCUAAAUAUUUAAAGUUGAAAGGGAUUAGAGAUAUAGAUAACUCAAUAUUCAGUGAAGACUGAAUUCAACCAAAUCAUCUUAUAGACUAAAAAGCCAAAUUUCAGAAAAUUAAAAUAACUUACUAGUCUUUUAGUUGGCAGUCAUGCCUUCUGAUUUUAAUUUCAAAGCAAUUUUUACCCCAUUUUUCUUCCUUUUACUAUUACUCUGAUUUGCUCUAUUAAAUGGUUUUGACUUUCUUUCCUAUAUCUACCUUAUAUUUAAGCUUUCAAAUACAUACAAUAUUAGUAGACCAUACAGCUCCACCAGUACUUGGAGUUAGAAAUCACAUAUUUCUUUUUCUUAUGAAAUAGACUUCUAGUUUCAAUCCUGCUUCCCUCCCUGUGACCUUAAGUAACCACCCCUUCAGUGAAUAAUUUCUGACCUUAUUAUUGUGGUAGGGGGUUGCUGAACUUCACCAAACAGGAAGGUUAGCCUGGAUUCCCAGCCUUCCUUGGUCCAACUACCCCAAUGCCACCUGAUGUCAGCCUCUCAUCUUCCAUGUAUAAUCUAUGUGGUCACCCUGGUAACCAUAUCCUAAUUGAAAGGUGAGAUCACAGGGAAUGUCCAUGUGCUGGGGUUCUGUGUUCUUCAGGGUCUUUCUGUUCUACCUUUAUUUAUUCAUUUUAUUUCUUAAGUAAUCUCUAUGCCCAGUGUGGAGCUUGAACUCACAACCCUGAGAUCAAGAGUCACAUGCUCCACUGACUUAGCCAGCCAAGCACUCCUCUUUUCUAACUUUGAAAGGAAAAGAAAGAAGAGACUCAACUACAUAAGACUAUACGGAAAGAUAAUGAAUUUCCAGACAAUACUUUGGGCUCUUUCUGUUAUAUACACUUUGGAAGAAAAGAACUAUGAUGCUCUAAGCAUUUAUUUUAAAUUGUUUUUAAGAUUUACUUAUUUACUUACUUAUUUCCUUAUUUAUUUAUGAGAGAAAGCAGGGGGAGGGACAAAGGGAGAGGAAGAGAGAGACUCUCAAGCAGAAUCCUUGCUGAGCAUGGAGCUGGACUCUGGGCUCAAUCCCACAACCCUGAGCAGAAACCAACAGUCAGACACUUAACCUACUGAGCCACCCAAGUGCCCAUCUAAGCAUUUAUGUAACUUAAGUUUGGGGUCUCUGGUUUAAAAGCUACGGUUUGAAGAGGGUUUACAGGGGCAGCCCCGGUGGCGCAAUGGUCUGGCGCCACCUGCAGCCCAGGGCGUGAUCCUGGAGACCUGGGGUCGAGUCCC